CCUACGGGAGGCAGCAGUAGGGAAUCUUCCGCAAUGGGCGAAAGCCUGACGGGGCAACGCCGCGUGAGUGAAGAAGGAUUUCGGUUCGCAAAGCUCUGUUGUUAGGGAAGAAUGAUUGUGUAGUAACUAUACACAGUAGAGACGGUACCUAACCAGAAAGCCACGGCUAACUACGUGCCAGCAGCCGCGGUAAUACGUAGGUGGCAAGCGUUGUCCGGAAUUAUUGGGCGUAAAGCGCGCGCAGGUGGUUUAAUAAGUCUGAUGUGAAAGCCCACGGCUCAACCGUGGAGGGUCAUUGGAAACUGUUAAACUUGAGUGCAGGAGAGAAAAGUGGAAUUCCUAGUGUAGCGGUGAAAUGCGUAGAGAUUAGGAGGAACACCAGUGGCGAAGGCGGCUUUUUGGCCUGUAACUGACACUGAGGCGCGAAAGCGUGGGGAGCAAACAGGAUUAGAUACCCUGGUAGUCCACGCCGUAAACGAUGAGUGCUAAGUGUUGGUCUCAUAAGAGAUCAGUGCUGCAGCUAACGCAUUAAGCACUCCGCCUGGGGAGUACGACCGCGAGGUUGAAACUCAAAGGAAUUGACGG
rnacentral:rRNA from 1 species